UCCCUGGUGGCUCAGACGGUAAAGUGUCUGUCUGCAAUGCAGGAGACCCGGGUUUGAUCCCUGGUUUGGGAA
rnacentral:tRNA from 1 species